CCUCCUCCGAGUAGAUUCCGUCAGUUCCGUGUCAGUGGCAGUACGGCAGCUUCCGGCGGACGGACGAGCAUCCCCACUUGACGGACGGCCGGACGGCAGGAUGUGUGAGCUCCACGGCUGGCGUCACAAGCCCAUCUCAGUCCGCUGGCUGCCGAAAAGUUUCUCAUCCGUGGCUCCGAUUACAAUGGCGAACGCAAAGUUUCCGUUUGAAGAUGCCAUGUACAAUGCCCUUGUAGUCGUAUUUGCACUGCUCUUAUUGAGUUAAACAGUUCGGAAAGUUGAGAACAGGUCGACACGGGCUGUCGGGGAUGUGAGGAACUUUGCUGACUGCUUUGGCACUUGAAGCUGACUUUCUGACUCGAAUUCGCAUUGUUUGACUUAAAUUGCUUGUCCGGACUUUGCGCUCAAAUAUUGCAUGCGAAAACAGACAAUGCUCGUAAGUAAAGUCCUGCGACUUGCCAGCUGAGUCCGCUGGCCUGGUCAAGUUCGCGCAAGACAUUAAAAUGCCUUUGGUGGGCAAGGGGACGUCCCGCCCAAUUCGCGAAGACAAAGACUUAAUUGCUUUCCCCACUGCCACACACACUCUGUGGGACAAGUUAGUGGCCAUUACGAGUUGAGCAGCUGCAUCAGGCAAAGAGCCACAGAGCCUGCAACAAAUUGGGCCCUUGCCUUGAAGAAUGCACCGCUUUCUGGCCCAAAUGGCGGAGGAACUGCAGCCGAAACUGAAAAGAAUGCCUCAGCCUGAUGCAAAUAACUUGCGAAGGCGGAAGCGAGCCAAGGCGAAACUGACAAUGAACGCAAAUGAAAAAGUGGCAUGGAAGGUGGGAGGUGGGAUACCGAGGUAGGGAAAAGGAUUCCGCAGAAAUGUGGGCCAUGGGCAACAGUUUUUGAUUUGCAUAAACAAAAGGAUCAAGUGUGGCGAAAGUGGCUGCCCAAGUGGGCAGCUGAUUGAAGAUGAUGCGGCUGCCUGCCUGCACACAAACUAUCAUGUUCCUAAACUUUAGAAAAUUUAGAAAAAGUUCUAAAUUUUUAAUUUGAAUUUAAAUAAGGAAUGUGAAGUCAUAUCAUUAAUA